rnacentral:lncRNA from 1 species
UGAAGUGCUGGGAUUACAGGCAUGAGCCACCACAGCCAGCUGGAUUAUGAGUUUUUUUUAAAUUUUACUUUAAAACUUUCACACAUUUAAAAAAUAUAUAUAUAUACACAUACACACACACACACACACACACACACACACACACACACAUAUAUAUAGAAAAGAUUGUUUUUAUGAUAAUUUUUUUUAACAUCCUAAAGGUGAGGAUAUAGAAAUAGCAAGUGAUAAUUAUUCUUUGGUAAAACUUGUCUGUGAAAGGAAAUGGACUGAAAGCAUAGAAGCUACAGCUCAUUUAUAACCAAUCGAGAAGCAGGACAUGUCAAAUGCUGUACAGAGUCCUGCUACCUGGGAAGCUUCUGAUAAACGAGGGUUGCUAUUAUUAUUAUUGUCAUUAAAAUGUCUUCAGUUCUCAUAGACUUUCAGCACCAGCACACUGUCCAGGAGCACUGUCCAGAAUGUUCUCAAGAAGAAUUCUCUUUCUAGAACGCUCUCCUUUUUUAAAGUUUCUUCUCUUAUUUCCCGCUCCUUGGCUACUCAGUAGAGUUGUGCUGGUGCUGAAAGUCUACGAGACCUGAAGGCAUUUUAGUGGUAAUAAUAAUAAUAAUAGCAACCCCCGUUUAUUAGAAGCCUCCCAGGUAGCAGGACUCUGCACAGCAUUUUACACAGUGUGCUACUCCAUUGGUUAUAAAUAUGCUGUAGCUCCUAUGCUUUCAGUCCACUUUCUUCCACAGAAAAGUUUUGCCAAAGAAUAAUUAUCACUUGCUAUUCAAUAUCCUGACCUCCAGGAUGUUAAAAAAUGUUUAUCAUAAAAAUAAUCUUUUCUAUGUAAUUUUUAAAUGUGUAAAAAUUUAAAAUUAAAAAACUCAUAAUCCAACCGUCUAUACAUAUAAGCAUCUUGGUACAACUCUUUCUAAAAAUCAUCAUACAUAUCUAACACAUAGGUACAUAUUGU